UACGUAGGGGGCAAGCGUUGUCCGGAAUCAUUGGGCGUAAAGAGCGUGUAGGCGGCCCGGUAAGUCCGCUGUGAAAGUCCAGGGCUCAACCCUGGGAUGCCGGUGGAUACUGUCGGGCUCGAGUCCGGAAGAGGCGAGUGGAAUUCCUGGUGUAGCGGUGAAAUGCGCAGAUAUCAAGAGGAACACCAAUGGCGAAGGCAGCUCGCUGGGACGUGACUGACGCUGAGACGCGAAAGCGUGGGGAGCAAACAGG
rnacentral:rRNA from 1 species